GGUGUGUGAAUAUAGUGAUAAUGCCAUUCAGGGCGGUGUGCAGGCAGGCAGGGGACCCGACGGUGUAAUGUGGUCGGGGGGAAGGUUGAUCUGUCCACUAAGAACCAUUCGAGCCAUUUGGAACUUAUAAACAGUUGUUAUGAAUGCGGUCGGACAGGCGAGGGUGACGGCGGUGUGACUGACUUCAAGAGACGUCUUCACAGAAGAAGUUGUGCGCACACAGCGAGCUGCAGGAAAUAUACAUUUAGCAAUAAGGUUGUCACUGUCCCGUACGAGACGAUGUUUCUUUUUGCGCUCUGCCUAUACCUCGGGAAGUUGGUGUCGUCCGGUGUCAGCUUGGAGUUCCGUUAUCACAACACCGUGGAGGUGGAGAGAUACCUGCGGGACGUUAACAACACCUUCGACUUCACACACCUGCACAGUAUUGGAAAGUCUGUUGAAGGGAGAGACCUCUGGGUGCUCAUUCUGGGAAAGAAUCCGGCUGAGCACCGGAUGGGAAUUCCUGAAUUCAAAUAUGUUGGGAAUAUGCAUGGAAAUGAGGU